CAGGCUCAUCUACUCCACUUUUUAAACUGACUGUGUAAAAAGGCAUCCAGAGUUAUCAUCUGUAUCUGUUUCCUUGCUGAUGCCUCUCACAGGGAUGAGACUGCUCUUUCAGACAGCUGUAUGACUGCAGCCUCAGGAGCUCCUUCUCUUCACCACUUUAAACGUUGUGGGGCAUGUCUUGUGGCUCUCAGACAGGGAGAGGAGAGAAGGCUGCAGAAGCCAUCCUCUUUCCUUCAGCUGACAGUGAAAAGCAGAUUUCUUGAUUGUAUGCAAAGGAUAUUGGAAAUGAUAAACUACAGUGGAAUUAUUCAAGAUGUGGGGUAAUCUUUAAGCAGAAAAUACACUGGCAGGUUGGUUUUGCUUUUUUUUUUUGAAAGCCUAGUUCAAAGAGUAUGCAGGCAUAUAAU
rnacentral:lncRNA from 1 species